GUCUAUAUCCACAACACCCUGAACAUGCCUAAUUUCAUCUAAUCUUGGAAGCUAAGCAGGAUCAGGCCUGGUUAGUACUUGGAUGAGAGACCACCAAGAAAGACCAGGUGCUGUAGGCU
rnacentral:rRNA from 1 species